AGUGUACCCGCGGCAAGACGGAAAGACCCCGUGAACCUUUACUAUAGCUUGACACUGAACAUUGAGCCUUGAUGUGUAGGAUAGGUGGGAGGCUUUGAAGUGUGGACGCCAGUCUGCAUGGAGCCGACCUUGAAAUACCACCCUUUAAUGUUUGAUGUUCUAACGUGGACCCGUUACCCGGGUUGCGGACAGUGUCUGGUGGGUAGUUUGACUGGGGCGGUCUCCUCCUAAAGAGUAACGGAGGAGCACGAAGGUUGGCUAAUCCUGGUCGGACAUCAGGAGGUUAGUGCAAUGGCAUAAGCCAGCUUGACUGCGAGCGUGACGGCGCGAGCAGGUGCGAAAGCAGGUCAUAGUGAUCCGGUGGUUCUGAAUGGAAGGGCCAUCGCUCAACGGAUAAAAGGUACUCCGGGGAUAACAGGCUGAUACCGCCCAAGAGUUCAUAUCGACGGCGGUGUUUGGCACCUCGAUGUCGGCUCAUCACAUCCUGGGGCUGAAGUAGGUCCCAAGGGUAUGGCUGUUCGCCAUUUAAAGUGGUACGCGAGCUGGGUUUAGAACGUCGUGAGACAGUUCGGUCCCUAUCUGCCGUGGGCGCUGGAGAACUGAGGGGGGCUGCUCCUAGUACGAGAGGACCGGAGUGGACGCAUCACUGGUGUUCGGGUUGUCAUGCCAAUGGUACUGCCCGGUAGCUAAAUGCGGAAGAGAUAAGUGCUGAAAGCAUCUAAGCACGAAACUUGCCCCGAGAUGAGUUCUCCCUGAGACUUAGAGUCUCCUGAAGGAACGUUGAAGACGACGACGUUGAUAGGCCGGGUGUGUAAGCGCAGCGAUGCGUUGAGCUAACCGGUACUAAUGAACCGUGAGGCUUAACCUUACAACGCCGAAG
rnacentral:rRNA from 1 species